GUAGGUGGCAAGCGUUGUCCGGAAUUAUUGGGCGUAAAGCGCGCGCAGGCGGUCCUUUAAGUCUGAUGUGAAAGCCCACGGCUCAACCGUGGAGGGUCAUUGGAAACUGGGGGACUUGAGUGCAGAAGAGAAGAGUGGAAUUCCACGUGUAGCGGUGAAAUGCGUAGAGAUGUGGAGGAACACCAGUGGCGAAGGCGACUCUUUGGUCUGUAACUGACGCUGAGGCGCGAAAGCGUGGGGGAGCAAACAGGAUUAGAUACCCUGGUAGUCCACGCCGUAAACGAUGAGUGCUAAGUGUUAGGGGGUUUCCGCCCUUUAGUGCUGCAGCAAACGCAUUAAGCACUCCGCCUGGGAGUACGGCCGCAAGGCUG
rnacentral:rRNA from 1 species